UCCGCGCCCAAGUUGCAUGGUUGCAACGUCAAAGAGGGUGCAANNCCCGUUGUCGGCACAGCCCCCCCNGUGCGUAUGCGGUCCGCUUUCUACGAGUCGAGUUGUUUGGGAAUGCAGCUCUAAGUGGGUGGUAAAUUNCAUCUAAGGCUAAAUAGCGGCGAGAGACCGAUAGCGAACAAGUACCGUGAGGGAAAGAUGAAAAGCACUUUGGAAAGAGGGUGAAAUAACACGUGAAACUGCUUUAUUGGAAACGCUUGAAGUCAGGCACGCGUGGGUGGGGUUCAACCCGGCCUCGGCCGGGCGCAUUUCCCGCCCGUUUGCGCGUCAGCAUCGGUUUGCGCGGCCGGACAUGGGCCCGAGGAAAGUAGCACCCUCGGGUGUGUUAUAGCCUCGGGCAGGUGCGGCGGCGCAGACCGAGGNNNNCAGCGCGCCCUUGUGGCCCCCGUCCAGGCGGGGCACGCGCUCAGGAUGCUGACGAAA
rnacentral:rRNA from 1 species